GUCUUGUUGAUUAUUAUAAUAAGUCUGACCUGCCCAGUGAUUUUUAAUUUAACGGCCGCAGUAUUUUGACUGUGCAAAGGUAGCAUAAUCAUUAGUCUUUUAAUAGGAGGCUGGAAUGAAUGGUUUGACGAAACAUUAACUGUCUCAUUUUUAUUAAUUGAAUUUAACUUUUAAGUUAAAAGGCUUAAAUUUUUUUGGAAGACGAGAAGACCCUAUAGAGCUUUAUUUAAUUUAUUUUAUUUAUUUAUUAGUUGAUAAAUUUUAUUAAUUUUGAUUUAGAAUUUGUUGGGGUGAUGGUAGAUAUAAACUUAACUUUUAUAAUUAUUUAUACAUUUAUUUAUGAAGUUUUAGAUCCAUUAUUAUGAUUAUUAGAUUAAGUUACCUUAGGGAUAACAGCGUAAUUUUUCCUUUGAGUUCUUAUUUUCGGAAAAGAUUGCGACCUCGAUGUUGGAUUAAGAUUACAAUUGGGUGUAGCUGCUUAUUUUGUAGGUCUGUUCGACCUUUAAAUUCUUACAUGAUCUGAGUUCAGACCGG
rnacentral:rRNA from 1 species